UACGUAGGGUGCAAGCGUUGUCCGGAAUUAUUGGGCGUAAAGAGCUCGUAGGCGGUUUGUUGCGUCGGCUGUGAAAUCCCGAGGCUCAACCUCGGGUCUGCAGUCGAUACGAGCAAACUAGAGUGUUGCAGGGGAGACUGGAAUUCCUGGUGUAGCGGUGAAAUGCGCAGAUAUCAGGAGGAACACCGGUGGCGAAGGCGGGGUCUCUGGGCAGCAACUGACGCUGGAGGAGCGAAAGCGUGGGGAGCGAACAGG
rnacentral:rRNA from 1 species